UGAAAUAACAAAGAUGGUGCUUAAUAUUAAUAA
rnacentral:sRNA from 1 species